UACGUAGGGUGCGAGCGUUAAUCGGAAUUACUGGGCGUAAAGGGUGCGCAGGCGGUUUUGUAAGUCAGAUGUGAAAUCCCCGGGCUCAACCUGGGAAUGGCAUUUGGGACUGCAAGGCUAGAGUGUGGCGGAGGAGACUGGAAUUCCCGGUGUAGCAGUGAAAUGCGUAGAUAUCGGGAGGAAUACCGAUGGCGAAGGCAGGUCUCUGGGCUGACACUGACGCUCAUGCACGAAAGCGUGGGGAGCAAACAGG
rnacentral:rRNA from 1 species